AUUGAACGCUGGCGGCAGGCCUAACACAUGCAAGUCGAGCGAGCGGCGGACGGGUGAGUAAUGUCUGGGGAACUGCCUGAUGGAGGGGGAUAACUACUGGAAACGGUGGCUAAUACCGCAUACUAUCGGAUGUGCCCAUAUGGGAUUAGCUAGUAGGUGAGGUAAUGGCUUACCUAGGCGACGAUCCCUAGCUGGUCUGAGAGGAGGAUCAGCCACACUGGAACUGAGACACGGUCCAGACUCCUACGGGAGGCAGCAGUGGGGAAUAGUGCACAAUGGGCGCAAGCCUGAUGCAGCCAUGCCGCGUGUGUGAAGAAGGCCUUAGGGUUGUAAAGCACUUUCAGCGGGGAGGCGUUACCGACAGAAGAAGCACCGGCUAACUCCGUGCCAGCAGCCGCGGUAAUUC
rnacentral:rRNA from 1 species